CAGUAGCCACGGUAAUACGUAGGGUGCAAGCGUUAAUCGGAAUUACUGGGCGUAAAGCGUGCGCAGGCGGUUUGUUAAGACAGAUGUGAAAUCCCCGGGCUCAACCUGGGAACUGCAUUUGUGACUGCAUGGCUAGAGUACGGUAGAGGGGGAUGGAAUUCCGCGUGUAGCAGUGAAAUGCGUAGAUAUGCGGAGGAACACCGAUGGCGAAGGCAAUCCCCUGGACCUGUACUGACGCUCAUGCACGAAAGCGUGGGGAGCAAACAGGAUUAGAUACCCGCGUAGUCCCUGUCUCUUAUAC
rnacentral:rRNA from 1 species